rnacentral:rRNA from 1 species
GAUGAACGCUGGCGGCGUGCCUAAUACAUGCAAGUCGAGCGAACGGACGAGAAGCUUGCUUCUCUGAUGUUAGCGGCGGACGGGUGAGUAACACGUGGAUAACCUACCUAUAAGGCUGGGAUAACUUCGGGAAACCGGAGCUAAUACCGGAUAAUAUUUUGAACCGCAUGGUUCAAAAGUGAAAGACGGUCUUGCUGUCACUUAUAGAUGGAUCCGCGCUGCAUUAGCUAGUUGGUAAGGUAACGGCUUACCAAGGCAACGAUGCAUAGCCGACCUGAGAGGGUGAUCGGCCACACUGGAACUGAGACACGGUCCAGACCCCUACGGGAGGCAGCAGUAGGGAAUCUUCCGCAAUGGGCGAAAGCCUGACGGAGCAACGCCGCGUGAGUGAUGAAGGUCUUCGGAUCGUAAAACUCUGUUAUUAGGGAAGAACAUAUGUGUAAGUAACUGUGCACAUCUUGACGGUACCUAAUCAGAAAGCCACGGCUAACUACGUG